GGGUUGUGAGGUUAAGCGACUAAGCGUACACGGUGGAUGCCCUGGCAGUCAGAGGCGAUGAAGGACGUGCUAAUCUGCGAAAAGCGUCGGUAAGGUGAUAUGAACCGUUAUAGCCGGCGAUGUCCGAAUGGGGAAACCCAGUGCAAUUCGUUGCACUAUCGUUAACUGAAUACAUAGGUUAACGAGGCGAACCGGGGGAACUGAAACAUCUAAGUACCCCGAGGAAAAGAAAUCAACCGAGAUUCCCCCAGUAGCGGCGAGCGAACGGGGAGCAGCCCGGAGUCUGAAUCAGCUUGUGUGUUAGUGGAAGCGUCUGGAAAGUCGCAGGGUACAGGGUGAUACUCCCGUACACUAAAACGCACAGGUUGUGAACUCGAAGAGUAGGGCGGGACACGUGGUAUCCUGUCUGAAUAUGGGGGGACCAUCCUCCAAGGCUAAAUACUCCUGACUGACCGAUAGUGAACCAGUACCGUGAGGGAAAGGCGAAAAGAACCCCGGCGAGGGGAGUGAAAAAGAACCUGAAACCGUGUACGUACAAGCAGUAGGAGCCUCUUUAUGGGGUGACUGCGUACCUUUUGUAUAAUGGGUCAGCGACUUAUAUUCUGUAGCAAGGUUAACCGUAUAGGGGAGCCGCAGGGAAACCGAGUCUUAACUGGGCGUUAAGUUGCAGGGUAUAGACCCGAAACCCGGUGAUCUAGCCAUGGGCAGGUUGAAGGUUGGGUAACACUAACUGGAGGACCGAACCGACUAAUGUUGAAAAAUUAGCGGAUGACUUGUGGCUGGGGGUGAAAGGCCAAUCAAACCGGGAGAUAGCUGGUUCUCCCCGAAAGCUAUUUAGGUAGCGCCUCGUGAACUCAUCUUCGGGGGUAGAGCACUGUUUCGGCUAGGGGGUCAUCCCGACUUACCAACCCGAUGCAAACUACGAAUACCGAAGAAUGUUAUCACGGGAGACACACGGCGGGUGCUAACGUCCGUCGUGAAGAGGGAAACAACCCAGACCGCCAGCUAAGGUCCCAAAGUCAUGGUUAAGUGGGAAACGAUGUGGGAAGGCCCAGACAGCCAGGAUGUUGGCUUAGAAGCAGCCAUCAUUUAAAGAAAGCGUAAUAGCUCACUGGUCGAGUCGGCCUGCGCGGAAGAUGUAACGGGGCUAAACCAUGCACCGAAGCUGCGGCAGCGACACUAUGUGUUGUUGGGUAGGGGAGCGUUCUGUAAGCCGUUGAAGGUGGCCUGUGAGGGUUGCUGGAGGUAUCAGAAGUGCGAAUGCUGACAUAAGUAACGAUAAUGCGGGUGAAAAACCCGCACGCCGGAAGACCAAGGGUUCCUGUCCAACGUUAAUCGGGGCAGGGUGAGUCGACCCCUAAGGCGAGGCCGAAAGGCGUAGUCGAUGGGAAACAGGUUAAUAUUCCUGUACUCGGUGUUACUGCGAAGGGGGGACGGAGAAGGCUAUGUUGGCCGGGCGACGGUUGUCCCGGUUUAAGCAUGUAGGCGGAUGUUCCAGGUAAAUCCGGAACGUUAUUAACGCUGAGGUGUGAUGACGAGGCACUACGGUGCUGAAGUGACAAAUGCCCUGCUUCCAGGAAAAGCCUCUAAGCAUCAGGUAACAUCAAAUCGUACCCCAAACCGACACAGGUGGUCAGGUAGAGAAUACCAAGGCGCUUGAGAGAACUCGGGUGAAGGAACUAGGCAAAAUGGUGCCGUAACUUCGGGAGAAGGCACGCUGAUAUGUAGGUGAAGUGGUUUACCCAUGGAGCUGAAAUCAGUCGAAGAUACCAGCUGGCUGCAACUGUUUAUUAAAAACACAGCACUGUGCAAACACGAAAGUGGACGUAUACGGUGUGACGCCUGCCCGGUGCCGGAAGGUUAAUUGAUGGGGUUAUCCGUAAGGAGAAGCUCUUGAUCGAAGCCCCGGUAAACGGCGGCCGUAACUAUAACGGUCCUAAGGUAGCGAAAUUCCUUGUCGGGUAAGUUCCGACCUGCACGAAUGGCGUAAUGAUGGCCAGGCUGUCUCCACCCGAGACUCAGUGAAAUUGAACUCGCUGUGAAGAUGCAGUGUACCCGCGGCAAGACGGAAAGACCCCGUGAACCUUUACUAUAGCUUGACACUGAACACUGGUCCUUGAUGUGUAGGAUAGGUGGGAGGCUUUGAAG
rnacentral:rRNA from 1 species